rnacentral:misc_RNA from 1 species
CCUUAUUUUCCUUCAAUCCAAACAUAACAUUAGUAAUUUUUGUAAAAUUGAUUUUUUUUUUUUUAUUACUAUAGGUUAGUGAAGGAGAAUGUAGAAAUAUAGAGAUUCCAACUCUACAUCUUUGCAUUACUCAUCAUGCUUAUGAGCAAAAUUAUUGUAGCAUAUUAUUGAUUUGCAAUGCUUGCUUUAUACGCUACUCAAUAAUAGUUUAGGAGUUUUGAUUUUAAACUUUCACAUAUUACUUAAACAUUAAUUCUUGAUAUGAUAAAAAUUUAUAUAUAUAAUGAGAAUUCAAUAAUUUACAAAUAUAUUUCGUUUGUUAAUGAAACAUUAUAUUACAAUUAAGAUAUGGGAAAUUUUAGUUUUGAUUUCAGUUGUGUAAGGAAAAACUAAGAGUUAUAGAGUUAUAAUAAGCAACCUUCUUCCUCCUUUUAAUAAUUAAUUGGAUUUUUCGACAUGUUCUUUUUAUAAGCAA